GGGACUUUUGUUUUGAGUGAAAAAAAAAAAAAAAGAGACUUUUAUUUUGAAAAGGGAAGUGGAGACUUUACAGUUCUCAUGCCAGAAAGCAGGAAGUGCAGAGCUAUCUUCAAGCACAUGUAGUAAGAAGCUGUGAAGUUUAGCUGAGAAGCACAUGGUGAAUUAUUAUUGAAGAUAAAGGGUGAAGUGGGGAAAUACUUUACUUGCUGGGCAUUUCCAGGGAUGCUACUGGUUUUCAACCUGACGCAAUCUGACAUAGCCUGAUGUAAACUGAUUUAAUCUGAGUUAAACUUCUGAUUAUUUGCACAACUGCAAAUUGUAACCAGAUCUAACUAAUAACAAAUCAUAAUUGAACAUGAGAAGCUAACUAAAUAAAACAAAGAAGAAAGAUUAAAGAAGAAAACGUGUGAGUUGAUUCCAACUGAUCUAACCCUGUUGAUGACCAAGGCCUUUUUCAAGUUUGGGCAGAAGUAAAGUAGAAAAUCCCCUGAGAACUUGACAGUUGAAAACCACCGGCACAGUUGAAAAGCAACUGCACAGUUGAGAAGCAACACUGCAGUACAGCUGAAGACUGGCGUUGUGCCACCUGAAACCCACCACAGUGCUGCUUGAUAACCAAGGAACUGCAUCAAGGCUAGAAGAUUAACGGCUUCAGUGAGUCCAGAGAGUGGAUGCAGAGAAGAGUUGCU